GUUAGUUAUUAGUCUCAUGAGACUUUAGAAUUGCGUAUAGUAAGGCUACACGUGUCCUGUGCUUUAUUUAAAGUGAAGUCCAAGCGUGGAAGAAUUGACUGUGGUGUUCUAGAGCUUGAAAACUAGUUAUUAUUGGUCUGUGCCCCCUUUUAAGAAGCACUGCCGUAGCCAAAUGAUGCUUUGCCUACAGAUCCUGCUUAUUUGUGUCUAUGUUGACGAACUGGCCUGCAUACAUUUCCUUGGUUAAAUCUCUUUUGUAAAAUGGAGGCUGUAAAAGAUGAGAAAGUGUUAUAUUAGUUUGUGCCCCUUUUAAGAAGCACUGCUGUAAGCCUAUGAUGUUUUACCUACAUAUCUUGUUUUGUUGUGUCUCUGUUGAUCAACUAGGCUGCAUAAAUUCUUGAUUUUUAUUUUCUUAAGCAUGUUUUUUUUACUUUUAGCUAUAAAUGGAGGCUACAAAAGAUGAAAAAAGUCGAUAACGUAGCACAUCACGGAUAGUCACAUUUUCGACUGUUGCCAAUCCCUUUCCUUACUUUAUCUCUGGCUGCACAGCCCCCUCAUGCUCAUCCGUGACAACAAGGCCACGUCUCCUGGGCAAUUUACUUGUUUACCAAGUUGCUGGGUAAGAGAGUGUUUAAGAGAUACCUCGAGCUGUUCCUGGACUCCCCAUAUUUCAUGGACUGGUGGGUUAUUAUGACUCUAGAAGCCAUUAUUUACAAGUUUGCUCCAAAACACUUUCUGUUUGUGUACUUUGCUGCAAUUUCAACAUUGAUAAUGUACUCCAGUUAUUUACAUGUACACACAUGCAUGCACAUGCACACACAAAUGUCUGGUGCAAUAUGCUGGAGUCUCACCUCACUAUGUCAGCUGCUGGAAAGAAUGAUCCUCAGAGGGAGAAUAAAACAACACAAAGCAAUAGCAAUAUGACAAUGCCCUGGUGCAGUCUGCUGGAGUGGACUGUCUCACUUCACUCUGUCAGCUGCUGGGGAUAAUGAUCCUCAGAGGGAGAAUAGAACAACACGAUCCAAUGUCCAUACGCCUGGUUAUGGUAUUCAGUUCAAUCUCCUCUCUGCAUGGGUGACACCUCCUCAUAAACAGGACCAGUUGGUGCAGUGGGUCCUAUACAUUAUCUUGCUCUUUAGCUGACGGGGAGUACACAUUCUUCUUAUGCAUGAACAAAUACAUUAUCAAGAGUCCCAUCAACAAUUCAAUGACGGUGAAUAGAAUGCCAUGACAACCACGCUGAUGGAGACAGCUCCAUCAAAUCGACUCCCAUCAGAUAGGCUGGCGCAAUUGUAAGAAACAGCUGUAUAAGUGGUUCAAGAGGAUCUCUACUGGGUUUUGGUCCCACUCUCCUGUAGCUGGACAGGUGGCAGUCAUUAUGCCCUCAGCCUCAGGGAAGAGUCCAUCAUCACACUGGAAUGUCACUUGCAUGUUUACCGGAAAGAGCAGGUACUGAAUGAUCACUGAUGGUGCCACUCUGUGGUGAGGAUAGUGGAGCCGUGCAGUUCAUUGGAGGAGCUGUGUAAAUAACAUACUGUUGGGAAGUAUUAAUUUUCAUAACAAUGCUCAGUAGAGCAUUCACACUGUGCGUUGAGCUUCAUCGCACAGCAGCAAAACGGAUACAAUAACUUUUUACCGUAACGAGUUUAUCAUUAUGGGGAAUAUAAUUAUGAUCGUGAAUUUAUAAAGCAACGAUUAAAUCAAUUGGUUUGUCGCCUUCGAAGAUCGCCUAAAAGUUUCAAGUACAGCAGUUAAAGCAGCCUAUGAAAGUGUCUAGUUCGUUCAAACAGCUCAUUUUGUGUCCAUGCAUGUACACACAUAUACACAUUAUACAUCUGCAUUUAUUGUGUAACACGCUUCAAGUUUGUAUAGAUUCAUGUCGACAGCUGAGGGUUAGCACUUUUAAAUUAGUGCUCUAGUUUACCAAGCCAUCAGAUAAUAGAUUUCUGUUGCCAUUAAGCUCCUCUUCUAUUGACUGUGUGUGGAUUCAUUGCCAACAAUUGCAAACAAUAAUGAAAGCACCGCAGGUGCUGAUGCCUCAGUGGAUGUGCCAACAUAAACCUACUAGCUGAUAUUGCUAAUACACACGUGAUAUGAUUAUCAUGAUGAAUAUUUUUGCAUCUAGAGUGGGAUCGAAAUGAUCAUGAUUGUUGCUAAAGAGGAUGCUAAAAGUACAAAGUUUAUGGCUGCUGCAUCAGUGUAUAGAGCCUUGCAGCUCUCUAGCGUUCUAGUACAGAGCUAACUACUGAGUAGCAACACUCCAUGGACAACUUUUGCUACACAUGCACUCUUCUGAAAGGCUGCAAUGGCAUUCCAAAAUUAGGCAUAACUCGAGAACGAAGCAUUCUUUUGGAAAUCCACGAAUCAGAAUCCAUGAAAACAUUACUAGAACCCUAUAGAAACUUUUACUUGCAGCUUAUUGAUCUUUGAGCAGCUGUAGCAGUCUACAUACACACAUGCACACAUACAAACACACACUGCCGUAUACCUUGCUUGCACAUACACACCGAGGCAUAAUAAUAACUUAACAGUAUCCAAAGCAUACAAAUACCUCUUCUAUGAUCGUAUUAUAAUUAUGAUCAUAGAAGAGGUAUUAGUAUACUUUGUAUUUGAGUGUUAUAUGACAUAAUUAUAACACUCUAAUACCUUAAUUGAGCGAAGCUAAACAUGGCGAGAGGCAUUAGCACAGCGCACCACUCAUUUAAUAUAGCUUCUUUUUUAAUACAAAAGAUGUAGUGGCUUUUAAUGAACAGAUGUUGCUGCUUACAGUUGUUAAAAUCGUUUACGAGCAUGCACAUUAACACAGAAGUUUCACUGUCCUACUGGUCCAUACGCCUGGUUAGUAUUCAGUUCAAUCUCCUCUUUGGGUGACACCUCCUCAUAAACAGGACCAACUGGUGUAGUGGGUCCAACAUUAGCUUGUCCUUUAGCUGCUGGGGAGCAUACUGCCUUCUUACGCAUGAACAAAUACAUGAUCAAGAGACCUAUCAAUAAUCCAAUGAUUGUGAACGCAACUGCUGUGACAACAACGCCGAUGGAGACAGCUGCAUCAAAUCGACUCCCAUCAGAUAGGCUGGCACAACUAAAAGGAGCAGCUGUAGGUUGUUCAAGAGAGAAGUAUUAUUACAAGUGUAUAUUCAAGUAAUGAAUACACUUGCCUCUGCAGACGAUCUCCUCGUC